rnacentral:misc_RNA from 1 species
GAUGAAGAACGCAGCGAAAUGCGAUAAGUAGUGUGAAUUGCAGAUUUCAGUGAAUCAUCGAGUCUUUGAACGCACAUUGCGCCCCCUGGUAUUCCGGGGGGCAUGCCUGUCCGAGCGUCAUUGCUGCCCUCAAGCACGGCUUGUGUGUUGGGCCUCCGUCCUCCUCCCGGGGGACGGGCCCGAAAGGCAGCGGCGGCACCGCGUCCGGUCCUCGAGCGUAUGGGGCUUCGUCACCCGCUCUUGUAGGCCCGGCCGGCGCUUGCCGACACAUCAAUCUUUUUUCCAGGUUGACCUCGGAUCAGGUAGGGAUACCCGCUGAACUUAAGCAUAUCAAUAAGCGGAGGA